UGCAGGUAUAGAAACUUCAACAGCUGCAGAGAAAAAAACAGCGUUUGUCCAACGUUACGCUCCAGCAGUCUGAUUUCUCUUUCUCAAAUGCAGGUCAAGUGUUUCUGGAACAAUCUGGUAUGACACAAUGAGCGCUUUGGAAGUGCAGUUAAUGACAGCACGAACAACGUCCUACUUUCGGCCUCCAAUAUGGUGCAGAGACAGAAAAUUCCCCAAGAUGGGCGCCUAAAAGCGCUGGCUAGGUCAGUCACGCGCUUCCUCCAAUUAUAGAACGACUGUGACAACUCGGGGGUGAAGAUGGAAACUCUUCCCUCCGAUGCUAUAAAUCAACACGGCACGGCUCAUUUUCAAGAUUUGACACUGGAACCCAAUCCCCACACCCCCAUCCGUCGCGGGGUUUGAGAGAUGCGGUGGGUGGACGUGCGUGGGUGAGAUCGCGUGGGCCGCAGCGAAUGAGCUUUUCCACUCGAUGAUGUUUUGAUUCCCUUUGAGUGCCGAUCGGGGAAAACAGACUUCUGGGGUUACAGAUGAUGAACACUGCAACAAACACGGCGCUAUCGGUUUCUGCCUCGUGCCAAAUAAAGACCCUCGCAUGUCUUUCCUCGGUCCGUGAGCUCUUCUUAAUUUUUUUUAGGUAAAGCUCCACCGGUGAAGUUCAUUAUAGCUCAUUGCACACUGGGGGUGAUUAGCGGCUUUAAUAACUCACAAUUACUGCAGAGCUGCUGUUAGUGCGGCCCACGUGUCUUACUGAGACCCAGCGGCUGUCAGCGACGCUCUUAUGAUAUUUGAUCGACCGGGGAGGGAGGACAAGAAAUCUCGCUGCUAUUGAUCUGAUUGAGGACUGGGAAAAUGAGGAUUGGAUUGCUUUGACCUCAAAUGUCAUGGCAAACAAUUUAGAGAAACACAUCUGAGAUAUGCUGGGAUUUUUGUUGCAGUGUGACAAAUAUCAACACAUGCUACAUUAGUUGAAUUUGACCGUUAUUACAGUUUUUCUCGAUCGCUAAAACACUAUAACCAGGCUUUUGAACUAAAAUUUCAAAACCAUAACGCCAUUUUUCAAAAAGCACAAUCAUUUUGCUGAACAAUAAACACUACUCCCCUGCUUUAACACAUGAGUCAAAUUUGGUGAACUUUUACUUCAAAACUCUACACACAAAUCCCUACAUUUCUCAGUGCUUACACCAUCUGGUCAUAUGGAAAGCACUAGCAUUCAAUAAUGUUCACUCAAGUCAGCAGCACAGCAAACAAUUACCAAGAUGGAAACACUAAAUUGAACACACAUCAAUCAGAUCCUUCAAUAGAUAAAUAAAAGGGCCCGAAUCAGUUCACUGAGCUUUGGAACAAUAGAUCCACAGAGAAAUGAAGGAAUAGGUUGAGGAGAAGGAGGAGGAAGAUGAGGAGGCAGAGGAGGAGGGAAAGAAGGAGGAUGUGGUGAAGGAGGAAGAGAAGGAGGAAAGAGGAGGAGCGAGACGAAGGGCAAGGUGACCAGCAGUCUCAGAUGAAAUUCGGGCCACUCUAGCUGACCAUGUGCUUGUCCAUGAUAUGACUAUGAGGGAGGCUGAGCAACGAGUAAAGUCUAAUUUGUGUCGCUUCACUGUUGCCUCCAUCUUCAGAGCCUUCAGGGAAGAAAACAGAUAGAUGUACUUACAGUAAGACUGCUCUGUACAGUAACUUUAGUGUACAUACACUGUUGGACUAUGCUACUAGAAUAAAGAAAUGCAUCAAAUUGCCUUCCAUACAGAUCGACAUAUCAGUAGAUGAAUGCCAGGGGUUAAUCAUGCGAGAGGAUUUUACCCUCGCUGUUUGGCUAGGACCAAUAUAGCCUGUGAUGGGGAUGAGAUUAUCUGGCCUGACCCAGAACAAAGACGGGAUGUUGAUGAGGAGGAAUCUUUUUUUUUUACAGUUUUUCUCAAUUGCUAAAACACUAAACCCGAUUGGCUGAACCAAAUGCUCAGUUGCCUGAACCCACUGAUUGAAUCAGUCACUCUUUUGGCAAAACCAUAAGCACUUUUCAUCUGUUUAGACACAACUUGCCAACACAUUUUCAUGAUGCACCCGUGCUGAAAAAUGGUGAACACAGGUGACAAAAGUCAAACACAAUUUUCGUUUUUCGUUUUUUACGAUUGGUUACACACAAAAUCUUUUCAUGUGACACGAUUUUUGAAAGCUCUAACUCAAAAUGCAAAACUAGAUGACAAAUCUUCAAAAGCAUAAGCUAUUUCUCAGUCUUUGAAUCUGCAACACCCCCCCCCCCCCCCAACGGGACACCAGACACAAUUUACUGUAUUCUACUGUAAAGAAUAUAUUUUUGGUUUACAUGUUUAUAGUUUUGUUGUAUAUAACAGUAAUGUUUGUACUAAUAAAUAUGUUCUGUUUCUACAUUGCAUUGGCGUUUUCGGUGUACUUGUUACCCCUCUCAGCAGAUUACUUUCACUGUAGAACAUUGUAUUGAAAUGUAGAUAUAAGCCCACGAAAGACUAAAGAGCUUUAGAUUUAGAACAGCAGUGUUUACAUGGUAUAUCCAAAAAUGUAUUAUUAUGAAAGAAGUGUUUGCCAUUUGAUGCAUAUGCUUUAUUCUGACAUGUGUUUGUGGCAUUUUGAAUGCGUUGUUGCAUUUUGAAGGAGAUAUGUGCUAUAUUGCAUUUUGUGUGUGCAGUUUUGAGAAUUGUGUGUAGAGUUUUGAAAAAAGGAGACUUAGUUUUGAAAACGUGUGUAAGCAAUUGGUAAAACUGUUGUAAGGGGAACAAAUAUGGCCCCAUCCAUCCGUUUGGCCCAACGACGGAAUCCAAACGAAGGGUUAUAGCGCGUUCGGUCUUUUCCGGCGCUUGCAGGUGACGUUUUGGCAUUUAUGUAAUUUUGUAUUAUUAUCUCUUAUCUGACUCCAAAGACAAAGAUUUAGUUUAUAUUAUAUUACAAAUUGGGUUGAUUAUUACUUUUAAAACUUACAGAAUUUAGAUGGAUGUUUGUUUAUUCUGAUAAAGCUCUGGUAUUACACUCGUUCAUUCGGUUCUCAUAGUCGCACAUGAUCCUAGUACGGGUCUCAUAAUUAAUAUACUGGUCAACGGUCAUAAGCGAAUCAGUGUUGGUCGCUGCCAGAGGUUGGACUAUACGCUUAAGCGGCCACUCUCUGCGUGCUCAACUUUAAACAUACUUUAUUUAGUCCCCUUAGAGGUGUCACUUAAUUAUUACAAUAAUUAUUUCUAAUCAAAAUGAAUGAAUAGAAUAAUAUUGAAACAAACAGAGGUUGAGACUUACCCUAUUUAGAGUAAUCUGAAAUGUUACUCUAAACGGAAACACAGCCUCCACGCUUCUAAGUACAUUUAAACUAACGCCAAUUUGCUAGUCGUAUCUCACAAAUCCUCAGCUGAUGUAUUAUUCACUAUCUAACUGGGAUUUGGGCCGAUCCUAGCCUGAUUUCUGUCCUUACAGUAACUACGGAUACAACGGUAUUACUUGCAGUGUCAAAAGUUACUGAGCAACACAGAAUAAAAUCAAACAUAACAAUUUAUUAACCAGGUAAGGAAAAACAUAAUUCAAAGCCAAUUAAUAUAUCCAAUUCAAAUACAAAACAAUACAACGAAAAACCAUUGCAUACCUGGUAAGGAGAUGAAGAUCUGGUUACAGAUUCCUCAAAAUAAAA